UUGCAAGAUGAUGCCAGAUUUAAUAAUGUUGGAGUUGAGAGAGUUAUGGAAACAACCAUCAGGUCAAAGUAAGCACCACCUGAUGCGCGAAAGUGAUGUACGGCGAUGACGAGCGCCAUUGAUUGUGCACGGUGCAGAAGCUUCUAUGGGAAGGGGAGCGGCUGUCAGGUAUGAUCUUUCUUCCCAUCUCUCCCUUUUUAUCAUUUCCAGUCUUGCCAAACAUUGGAUGACACAUCUCCAGAGAAGUUUAGUACUGUUUAUUUAAAUUUCUAAAAUUGGGCAAUUGAGUUAGUCGGAUGCAUAAUUAUCUGCUCCCUCCGUUCCAAAUAAGUGACUCAACUUUGUACUAACUUUAGUACAAAGUUAAUACAAAAUUAAGACACUUAUUUUGGGAUGGAUGGAGUAUUAUUGUAGCCAUUUUUUUAUUCUCCAUUGUUGAAGAUUUAUGCCGUGCUCACCUGAAUUUUGGACGGGAAUCCACAUUAAUCUACCCGUCUACCCCAAAACACCAUGUUAAAAUUGAUUUUGGUUCCCUAUUAUGUACAGUUUCUAAAUUGGCUUCGAUUGUAUUUCGGCAAUUGAAUAUGAUUACGUGCAGUAACAUGUACUAGCAUUUAAUUCAUUUGGUUGACAUGGUGUUACUGAGCUCAGCAUGGUGCCCUGAAAUAAUGGUGAUUUUCCCCUGCCUUGCCCAUCUCCGUAUUUCUUUUUCCACUGUACACAUUGGAUUUUGACAAUCGUGGUUGUGAUCCAUGAUUUAAUUUUGAAAAAAAAGAAGUAAACCACCGGUUUGGACAAGAUGAGACAUUAUUUAUUUAUUUUGGCUUGCACUGCAUGGUCCUCCCUUUGUAAACUAAUAUAUGAUCUUAGUGAUCUAAAAUAUCUUAUAUUAGUUUAUAGAGGGAGUAUUAUGUAGUGUUGCUGCAUGGUGAUAAUUAGUUCAUGUCCAUCUUUUCACUAAAAACAUAUGUUCAGUUGCAAUUUUGGAUAUUUACACAAUUGUCUAUGUUUCGUUUCUAGAUUUUGUUGGAGCAAAAUGGUUUCUGAUGCAUUCAAACAUCAAUAAUUAUCAGCGUCAACAAAAUUUACAAGACCAGGCCAGUGGAUGGUGACUAUUCUGUGACCCUCGCAAGAGGGAUGUGGUCUACAUCAAGGGGUAUGAUGGCGAGCCAACGAUGGCGCCGACAGACAGCUGCUCAAGCAGGCGCUGAUGAAGGCAAGCGUCGGCUCAGUGGGGGCAGUGGAGGGCUGUGAAAGUAAUAAGAGUAGACUGCAAUAUAUUUUUGUAGGCCUUCUUUCCUAUGCUACAAAUACAAAAAUACAAACAUAUGUGCGACACUACCUUUGGACCAACUAUAAUGGGUGGUCAUCAUUAUCUCUACAACAGUUUAGGUUGGUCUGGACUGGUAAUUUCUUUGCUGCAACUCAUGCCUAACAUCCUCUAUACAUGUGCACUAAGUAACUAGAUGCUUGCUUUCCUAACAAUUAUCAAUCUGUGAUGGACAUCAGCUCGUAUAACUUUGUUAUUUACGUAGACUUGU
rnacentral:lncRNA from 1 species